AUUUAAAGGGCACUUCUAUACUUAGAAACCUGACUAUUAAAAUAUGAAAUUAAAAAUCAGGAUAUGUGUAAUUUCUCAUGUCCGUUUAGCAAGUGGAAGAGCAGCCUAGUUGCUUGCCAAUUAAAAUUUUCUUCUUUCUUGGUAUUACACUAAAAAUUGGGCUUAUAUUCAUCAACCCGGCGCCAAUUUAUCUUAUGUUGCAGUGAUUUCUUCUAAACUUCUUCAUCACCGAACUUGGAAGGUAGUAUCGGAUUGUAUUAUUGUUAAAACGGGCUUUAUAUGUUGAAAUCGGCUCGAUUUGUUUGUCGUGAAUGAUUUAAUUUGAACUCAACUCCUUAUAAUUUAUUUAAUUUUUCCAGAUUUGUUGUUUCUUGAUGGUAAUCUUUCUCUAGCAACAGGGAUUUUUUCAACAAUAUUUCUCUUGAAUAUUUGAUAUGGUUUUUUAUGGUUUUCUAUCGGUGAAAUACCCAGGACCAAAAUCCAGUGGGGGCAGUUGCCCCACUAGACCCCAGGUGGUUCUGCCCCUGUUGUUGUUCAUGCUAGGGCAACCGAAAGGAUAUUUCAAGUUAAGGGAAUUUAAUUGAACGAAUCCAGACAAAAGAUUUGAAAUUUGCUAAUGAUAGUUGCUUCUUUUUCCUUUCCUUUUUUAGUUGUUUCUAAUAAACUCGUGUUUUGAUUUAUGAUUUUCCCCGAACUGACAUUUACUUUGAUUGAAUUGGAACCAAAAGGAACAUUAACAGAGGAAAAUCUGAAUGAAACAUCAAGGAGAAACUUUCAAAAUUUGUAAUCUUUUUGGUUGUUGGUAUUCUCUUCAUUCUUCUAUUUUUAACUGUACUUUGUGACCUCUUGAAUUAUGAGAUGAUAACAGGACAAAAAAUAUGAGGGGAGUCCAUUUUUUAUGAUUUUGGGUUAAUUUCUUCCAAUUACUUAGAGACUUAAGUGGGGCUAAGUGUUCCAGUGUUUGACUGUUUGCUCUUGGUUUCUCAGGCGAAUUCGUGAAAUUUUUUAUAUUUAUGUAAACACUUUCAGAGGAGUUUAACCAGUGGAGUAAUAAUGCAAAAGGACAAUGAUUCUGGUGGUCCAUCAAUGCAUGGAGGUCUUACUGGGCGGUUACGCCGACGCAGAGGCUCAAAUGAGGUCAGUUAUUUGUUUCGAGGUGAUUUUAUGCAUCACACACCUAAGUUAUAUAUGCUGUUCUCAAACACAAAGGAAUGGUCAAAUGGAAUUUUUUUUGCUAAGACUUGCUUGCAUCCUUUUGAGGAAUUCGAAGAACACAUAACGAAAGAAUCUAACGC
rnacentral:lncRNA from 1 species